UACGUAGGGUGCGAGCGUUGUCCGGAAUUAUUGGGCGUAAAGAGCUCGUAGGCGGUUUGUCGCGUCUGCUGUGAAAACCUCAGGCUCAACCUGGGGCUUGCAGUGGGUACGGGCAGACUAGAGUGCGGUAGGGGUGACUGGAAUUCCUGGUGUAGCGGUGAAAUGCGCAGAUAUCAGGGAGGAACACCGGUGCGAAGGCGGGUCUCUGGGCCGUAACUGACGCUGAGGAGCGAAAGCGUGGGGAGCGAACAGG
rnacentral:rRNA from 1 species